CAAGAUCUGCCUGAUGGAUGAAUGCAGAGACCCAGAAAUAGGGAAUUCAUAACCUGGAUGGUGAAUUUGGUGUGGAAUGGGCUGAGUUUAAGCAGCCAAGGAUUGUGAACACUGAGAACUCCCCACUGGAGCCCCAGCCCUUGCUGUCAGCCAAGUGACAGUCUUGACAUUUAGCCACUUGUGGAUGGGAUUGAUAUUUCUAUGUUUUCUUGCUCCUUAAACAACUUGAAGAAAAGUUAUGUACUAACAGGAAAGAAACUGAGGAGUUACAAAAGAGGAUUCCUGUUUUAUUAUUCCACCAGGAGAGACUGUCAGUAGGACUGUCUCGAGGUAGCACCUCAGACAACAAGGAUCUAGAUCAUUUUUGAUGACACAGGGUGCUUUUCUGGUUCAUUUGUUCUCCUACCUGAAGUGUGAGUUUCCCAAUCGCCUCUUCCAUCUUUUUAACCUUUGCCACCAGCUCCCUGAGGUGCUCUAUGAGGCAGCUUUGUUCCUUAGUCUCAUUGUUCAAUAUCUGCCCUAUUUUCCAAGACUCCUUGUUCUCAUCCUCCUUCUGGCUCAGGUCCUUUAAGAUCUCCUGCAUUUGCUUCUGCUGGCUCUGAUAAAAUAGAAACAACGAGUGAGAUCUUCAUUUUGUACACCAUGAUUAUUUACAUCAUCCAAACAAAUCUCCAUUUAGGAAUGGUAGGACAACCUCCUGCCCUGCCAAACCCAUUCCUUGGUGGGAGCACACUGGUUUCACCAGUGCUGCUCUAGGAGUUUGAUUUGUUGUGUUGACCUGAGCAACUGAGAGAUUCAAUUUGCAGCUCACUGAUUCAGUAGCAGCUUUGCUACUCAGUGUAACAGAAAACAGAGCAAGCCUUGGACAAAGAAGGUGAAUUAAUUUUUCAUAAACUGGAUGAAAGUCAAGAUUUCAAUGUGAUUUUUGUGAAAUUAGCCCAUGAUCAGACUGUGUGACAGUGACAUUAAAAGAUGAGGGUACUGUGAGGUGACAGCUAUGAGUUCAGGCGGCUUCACCAGUGAGUUUUGGAGGUUUUCUUUCACACUGACAAAUCUAAUACCUGUCAGACAGUUUGUUCUGUCAGGCCAACAAACUGCAAGGAAAGUACAUCCUUGAUAUAAGGGAAAAAACAGAUCAACCAUCCCUUCCCAAAUAAGCUUGUAUCUUUCUGCAAUAAUUUUAGUGAGAAUGCUCAGAUCUGGCAAAAAUAACUGUUAUUUGGCUCUUAUAAUCUGCUGCUCAGCACCCAAGCUCCUCACAGUGCCUGGUGUGAGAAGGGUGAAUUCCUGCUCAGUUAUAAACAUGCCUUAGCUAAAACUUGUGCACAGAAGCAAGGAAAUCCAAGUGGUUUGAAACUGGUGAGGAGUUGGAUCAGGAAACACAGAACUAACCCUGCUAAGAACUGGCAUAAUCUCUAAUAUAUAUAUAUAUUUUUACUAUUUUAAUUAGGGAAGGCUAUUUAGAACCAUGGCAGGAAUAAAGAACCCUGCAAUACCAUGACAGCAGUCAUUUAUUUCUUUUUCAGCACCUUAAGUCUGCUGAAACUCUUGGUUUUGAAGGGGCCAAACCCUCUCAGCUUCAGCUGUUGCCAGUGAAUGUGCAGAUAGUUUAGAACUCAUGUGUGGUUUUGGCUGUUUAACACAAUAAAUGAAAGCUGUGUUACAAAGAAAGGAAAUCUUGCAAAACUGCAGGCAUUCUAAAGAAAAAAAAUAAUCUACCAAUGGAGCUGAAAGUAGAACAGACAAUACAGUCCAUCUCCAUGGGUCAGGAAUGAAGCUCUUCCUCUACCUACAAGACAAAUCCUAUUUCAAUCCUUCUGCAAAAUGUUUCUUCCAAUUCUUGCAGCUUUGACUGCAACUGUCACACCUGGUGCUGUCUUGCAGCCUUUACAUGACCUGACCCAAAAUGCAGAAGGGCUUUAGCUGACUAGGAAACCUCUGGCUGUCACAGUUGGAUUCAUCAGGCUCCUGUAUCCCCCAAGGUUGUCUGUGUCACUGAAUGACAUCAUGUUUCACCACUUACAGAAAGAGGGCUGGGACCAACAGAUAAAGUCAGACCGUACCAGCAAGGCAUCUAUGAGCUCAUCGUCGUGUUUUCCUUUCUCCAGCAAGGUCACAAUCUGUGCCUUCAGGAUUUUCAGUUCACCACACAGGAUUUUGUUCCUGGCUUUUGAUGCAUUGAGUUUUUUGUUCACUUCCUCGUGGCUGUUUUGGAGAGCGCGGUGUUCCCCGGCCAGUUUCUGCAGGGAUGCAAACACACCAUGGGAUAUGACAGUUAUAACCCAUCACCAGGCCCCAGCUGCUUUGGGGAGCACAAAGAAUCACACAUUACCUGGUAGAAUCUUAAAGAAGACUAAAAAAUGGGACUGGCAUAUUGUAUCACCCCUAAGGAAGUAGGAAUUGUAAACGCUGCUGCUUGCCAACAUCAAAAAAGGGUCUGUCUGCUCAGGAAUCUGAGUGGAUUAGGUUGAUUCUCAACUUUAUUCUGUUCAAAUAGAGAAGCCCAGAGCCACAUAGAUGGAGGAAGUGUGAGGGAGAUCAGAGAAUCAACCAGGCUGGAAAAGACCUCUGAGAUCAUGAGCCAUGACCCAACCCAUGACCCAACACCACCCUGUCACCCAGCCCAUGGCACUGAUGCCACAUCCAGUCUCUGCUUAAACACCUCCAGGGAUGGUGACUCCACCCCCUCCCUGGGCAGCCCAUUCCAAUGGCUGAGCAGUCUCCAUGGAAAACUUCUUCCUAAUGUCCAACCUAAACCUCCUCUGGCACAGCUUGAGACUGAGCCCUCUUGUCCUACUGCUGGUUCCUGGGAGAAGAGACCAACCUCCCCCCCGGCUCCCCCCUCCUGUCAGGGAGUUGCAGAGAGUGAGGAGGUCUCCCCUGAGCCUCCUCUUCUCCAGGCUGGACAACCCCAGCUCCCUCAGCCUCUCCUCACAGCACUUGUGCUCCAGUCCCUUCCCCAGCCUCGUUGCUCUUCUCUGGACCUGCUCCAGUCCCUCCAUGUCCUUCCUGAACUGAGGGCCCAGAACUGGACACAGCACUCCAGGGGUGGCCUCACCAGUGCUGAGUCCAGGGGCAGAAUCACUUCCCUGUUCCUGCUGCCACACUGUUCCUGAUGCAGGCCAGGAUCCAUUGGCCUUCUUGGCCACCUGGGCACACCUGAGCCCAUGUUCAGCUUCCUGUUGAUUAGAAACCCCAGGUCCCUCUCCUCCUGAUCAUUCUCCAGCCACUCUGUGGUGCUGCCAGGGGUUGUUGUGGCCAAACUGCAGGACCCGGCCCUUGGCCUUGUUAAACAUCAGACCAUUGGAUUCAGCCCAUUUAUCCAGCCUGUCCAGGUCCCUCUGCAGAGCUCUCCUGCCCUCCAGCAGAUGGAAACUCCCCCCCAGCUUGGUGUCAUCUGCAAAUUUGCUGAUGGUGGACUCAAUCCCCUCAUCCAGAUCAUCAGUAAACAGGACUGGGUCCAGCAGUGAUCCCUGGGGACACCACUAGUGACCAGAUCCCAACUGGAUGCAGCACCAUUUCCCACCAGUUAAGAACUGGCCAUCAGCCAGUUCCUAACCCAGCAGAGAGUGCCCCUGUCCAAGCUGUGGACUGCAGCUUUUCCAGGAGUGUGCCAUGGGAGACAGUAUCCAAGGCUUUGCUGAAGUGCAGGUAGACACAUCCACAGCCUUCCCCUCAUCCAGCAGGAGGGUCAACUGGUCAUAAAAGGAGAUCAGGUUGGUCAGCCAGGACCUGCCCCUCCUAAAUCCAUUCUGGCUGGGUCUGAUUCCCUGUCCAUCCUACAGGUGCCAUGUGAUGUUUGUUUCUAACACUGCAAGAAGAAUGCACACCUGACCAAGGGCCAGAAGGACACUCUGGAAUUUGGAUGUAGCUCUAGCAGGGCUUGUCUGUGGAGUGGGGCAGAACUUCCUCCAGCAGAUCAAGUGGGUUUGUGAGAUGGUCUCUGGGUAGGGUGUAACACACCCUGCAAGGCAAAUUAUUACACAGCACACGCCCAAACAGGACUCUGUUGGUUCACAGGUUUUUACCUCCAAAGCUUCUUUCUUUUCUUUCUCCAAGUUGCGAAGUUUCAGCAAGUGCUUCUCCUGGGCUGACAACUUCCUUGGAUCCUCAAGGGCCAGGAAUUCCUCAUCAAUGUCCAUCACUGAUCUUCUGGUCUUGUUUUGACCCAGCUUACUCUCCAGCUCUCGAACCUAGGGGACAAUAAUGGCGACUCAUCCAGGCAUCUGUCAGGAGCACAGGGGUCCAGCACAAAAGGGGCACAACCAAAGGCAGCUCAGAGUGUAUCCUCAUAUUAAUUCCUGAUAUUAUUAACUACCAUAGAGCAGUGUCUGGUCUUUCAAAUUUAAAUUUAGCUGCUAAUAAAACAUGCAGAUUUUAGGGCAUCUGUGCAGGAAAGAGAUAUGACACCAGACCUCUGGUUGACUCGGGACACGUGGGAGAUCUGUGGCUUUUUGGAGCCACAUGUGGAGGCCAGGCAGACACUCCAGAGCAUCUGAAAUGUGUGUAGGCAAGUGAACUCAGCCCCUGCUUGUCACCUACUCACUGCAGACUCCUUUUAUAGUCAGCAGAAGGAAUUGGGUACUGCCACAGCUCAGUUCCUCUGCCUGUUCUGGAGGUGUGAUCCAAGGUAAGAUGGACCUGCCUCACUUUUGAUCCAGUGACUGUAUUUACAAGAUCCCCACUGACUACAAAAGGGGCCUGAGGAGACUGUCUCAGAAAGAAGUCUGCUUUAGAGCAGAGAACAGUAUGUACAGUCUUCAGAUGAACCCCAGGCAGGGGGUAUAACAGAAGAAAAUGUGAUUUGAUCAAGGGAAAGCAGAGGUUAACAACCCCGGUCAAUCAGAGCGCAGAAAUCACAGUUCGAUGGCAUAUAAUUAAAUAGCAGAAAAGUAGGAAAAUUAUGUAUCAAAUUGCCUGAGAGAAGUUUUAUUUAGAUGCAGACAAAGCUGCCUCCUUGUCUCCAGCUGACAUUUCAGCCCUUCAGAAGAUUCAGGAGUUAAAGAUUUUACUGAAGCUCCCUAAGGAACAACUUGAAAAUCUUAUCUGGCCUCAAUUCUUCCCAUCUGACUUUAGGCACUGAACAAAGGUGUCUAAGUCAGAGCACAGACACUGACAGGGCUCCUUCUGUUCUCAGUGGAGGGAGGCACCUUCAAAACACCCUGGGAUUUUAACUCAGCUGCCACAGCUCUCCAGGGUCACUCAACUCACUCAUUUCACACAGAUGUGAAAGAUUCCCAGUUAAAUACCCAACCUUGCAUGGUUGCAAUAGAGUAAUUACUAUAGAUUUUAAGAAUUAAUGAAGAAUUAACAGUACCUUUACUUUAAAUUGAGGUGAUAUCAACACUUAGAAAGAGAAUUCCAGCCUCCAGCUGAGGUGGCACCACCCAGAGUCUUCACUUACCUUGUUUUGGAGAACAAGGAUCUGCUGGGCCCGUCCACGCCAGCUGCCAGAAUUGGCCAAGAGACUUUGAAUAUUCACAUCUUCCCCAAUUUCAUUUGCCAAGAGCUGUGAAAAAGGGGAUUAACACCAACAGUGAGGCUUGAAUAGAAGUGUUGGGGCUCUCUCUAGCAGUAAACACAAGCAUUACCAACAGUUUUCAAUAUAUGCCGUUAUUUUUUAUAUAAUGAAUAUUUAACCAUAAUUAAAUAGGGCAUUUAUUUGCCUAAAUUUGUCUAAAUACACACCCUUGCCAUCAGGAAUUGAGCCAAAUUCCCUUGCACAAUUCUGACACAGCUAAACUUAGUAUGGAGAGCAUUUAAAUUAUUUAUAAAAAGGUCAGCAGAGUUCUAUUUUUAGGACCAUACUCUCUACUCUGAUCUGCAUUGCAGGUCUCUUACACAAACUAAGGAAACCAGGGGAAACAGAGCACAUAGAAACACUUAAAUCCAUCCUGAAUCAAAGAGGAAAAGGUUAUUCUGGAUGUCACUCCAACAAACUAUUUAAACACGUGCUUUAUUUCCAGCAGUUUUUAAUCCCAUUGAUUUCCAUGGGACUGAAACCUGUAUUAAAACCAAACACAUAAUUAAAUGAUAAUUUAAAUGCAUCCUGAAAUGGUACCUUUUGGGUCAUCUUCAGUUCCUGUCUGGAGGACUGGAGCUGGUUCCGAUAUUCCAUGGCUUUAAAGUUGGCUGUGUUUAAUUUUUCUUGCAGUGCUUUCACCUCUGGACUUUCAGCCUGUGAAGAGAAGAAUGUACUCGGUAAGAACAGAAUCCUCAGGGGAAAACUGAAGUGAUUAAGAACCACAUAUUUAUCAGGAUCACAGAAUCUGUCUUUCCAGACCCAUUUCCUCCCUGAUUUUUGGGGUAUUUGGGAAGUAUAAACUGAACAUGGUCACAAAACUGGUGACAGGGACACAUCCUUGUCCUAAGGAAAGGACUGCACUGAGUAUCAGCUUCUGAUUUCCUCUCUUCAGUUACAGUUCAUACCAAAUUUUCUUCCAGCAUCUUCAGAGUUGAUUCCUUGAUUCCACCACCACCAAGGGAAUGUAUUUUUUCGACAGCUGCCUGUAGCUGGAAAAAAACCCCAAACAUUGUUAUUGUACAAUGGAUGCAGUGAAGAGAAUCCCUCUAUGGUGUGUUAAUUAGUAAAAAAUUAAAAUAUGGAUGUUUAUUAA